rnacentral:lncRNA from 1 species
AACAUUCUGAAAUGGGGGGAAAUUGUAUCCAUUCAUUUUAUUUUAUUUUUUUCUGCAGAUUUGGAAGAGACAGUGUCUGUUGGGGAAGUCCUGGUGAGGGACAGAUGGCAUGCUCAAGUGUUUAUAAAGGUGAGGAUGGGGGCAGGGGACCCCCCAAGGAGAUGGAAGGUGGUGGCAGGGGGUCAUCACCACCCUGGCUCCAGUGAGUGGUUUCUAGGAUGCAGAGAACACGGCCGGGGCACACACACUGUGGCCAAAGUCUCCCUCUGAUAUCCUGGCCUGGAGCCUGGGGCUGUGCACAGGAGGACUGGACUAGAGGAUGUACUGGUUGCUUUGUCCUUGAAACCCUCACUUUUUCUUCUCCCAAGUUUGCUGCAAGUCUCAGUGGGAAGGAAGGUGGCCGGGGCUUGCUGAAAGAGAAAAAAGAAUCUCUUGUGAGAGUCUUUGCAAACAGUCCUUGGGCACCCCAGCCAGGCUUGGCCUGGACACAUACAUGCGCAGUGGACCAGCAGCUCUGCCAUCCUUCAGGACACAGACGGGAGUCGGCCCUCGAGUUGGAGAGUGGCAGUUGGCACAACAAAGGGACCAGCAAUGAUCCAGAUGGUGGCUGUGCUCUGUCUACGUGGGUCCCAGAGUGA